rnacentral:rRNA from 1 species
GAUGAACGCUGGCGGCGUGCUUAACACAUGCAAGUCGAACGAAGCACUUUAACCUGAUUCUUCGGAUGAAGGUUUUUGUGACUGAGUGGCGGACGGGUGAGUAACGCGUGGGUAACCUGCCUCAUAAAGGGGGAAAACGUUUGGAAAUAACGGCUAUUACCCCAUAGAACAAAAAGGCGCCAUGCCUCGGUGGGAAAAAUUCCGGUGGGAUGGGAUGAACCCGCGUCUGAUUAGGUAGUUGGUGGGGUAACGGCCUACCAGUCGAACGAUCAGUAGCCGACCUGAGAGGGUGACCGGCCACAUUGGGACUGAGACACGGCCCAAACUCCUACGGGAGGCAGCAGUGGGGAAUAUUGCACAAUGGGGGAAACCCUGAUGCAGCGACGCCGCGUGAGCGAAGAAGUAUUUAGGUAUGUAAAGCUCUAUCAGAAGGGAAGAAAAUGACGGUACCUGACUAAGAAGCACCGGCUAAAUACGUG